rnacentral:lncRNA from 1 species
AAAAGUUGCAACAAAAAAAUCAAACAUCUUAUAAAACGGAUGUAGUAUUUGCUAAGAGCUAGACCAUAUAAAAAUUUGUCUUUUAGAAUGCUUAUGCUAUCUCUGUCGUUGAGGUGACUGCUAUUAUACUUUACUCUUAUGUGAGCCGUCCAAAGCUUUGCGCCGAGAUCCGUGCUCGUCAACGGAAAACAUUCUAGUAGCUCUCUUUGGGAAGACAAAACAAUACUUUUACUAAAAAAAAAAAAAGAAAACGCGCACCUCUUCCUUCUGCCGCACGCACGCAGCAACGCAUUGGCAAUGGCAAUGGCAAUGGCAAUGGUUAUUCAAAUCCUUGUUUUGUGCGUACGUGGACUAGCUCGCUUCUGACAUCUGUACAUUUAAUCAACUUUUAUUAAUCACUUAAUAUUUAAAUGAUAUGUUAACAUAUCCUAUGAAGUAAAAUUUUAUAUUAAAAACACUUGUUUCAUUCAUACAUUUAAAUAUGUUUUGAUGAUGUGGCAUUAUAGUAAAUCGCACAAUAAAAUUUUGCAUUGAGAAUGACCUAAAUUUGGUUACGCUAAUUGGUCGGUGUGUUAAGAAAAAGUAAAUGGUUUUCCAUGUACUAAUCUCUAUAAGAACCAUUCUAGAAGAUAAUUUAUCUCUACUCAUUUCGUCAACUAUGAGACCUCAUAUUUUCCUGUCGGCAAGUAGAGUGUGUCCAUUCCUCCGUAUCAUCGCUACUAGUGCCAAUAAGUCCUCUCACCACUUCACCAUGUCACUCCUCUCCUUCAUCCCUAUUGGUUCACUUCUAUUCCUAACAUAUCAUUGUCCCUUCUACGAGUCUACCAAGAUGUACUUGUAUGGCUAAUCUUGGAUCGUCUCUAGCGGCUAAUGUCGCUAAAUAUAAUUCUCGCAUCAUGCUUCCCUUUGUCCCUCUAACCUAUCCAACUCAUCUCCUGCUUACUAACCCUUUCUUUGGCGCAUUGGUGGUAGUCAUCUCGUAGCACCAAUAUUGUUGAUUAACUGUCAUUUGGGUUUUAGACUACUAAUUAUUAUGUGGUUAUCGUGGACACCACACUACAACUGGGGUACGAUAACGAUAAUAGUGUGGCACCCACAUCAAAUUCAAACAAAUAAAAAAAUGAUUUUUAUUAGUUUUGUAUAGUUUUCAUGGUUUGCCCUACAAGUAAUGAAAACCCUAGCUAUCAUCGCAAAAUUCGGAAUCAACACUCUUCCCCCUCUCCCAAGCCCCUAGCCCCACCUUCAACCUAAUUGGUACACCAUUGCUCUGUUAUUGCCCAUGAAAAAGCGGAAUUGCUUUGCGUACAAGAAAAUUGUAUGAGAAACGUACGAUUUCCGCCGUCGUCGCUGUGAUUUGUUUGCCGCUCCAUUACACGCCAAUUCGCUCGCUGACACACCGUCGCUGCAUGCUGUGAAUCGUACGAUACGACGAUCGUACGUACAUCACUACUCAAGAAGAAGGUUGGGGCAUAGAUCUAUAUUUGUGGAUCAAGUUGCUUGUUAUUAACAAAAUUUUCAGUUCAUGUUGUCUAGCAAAUCCUUAAAAAAUUGCAUGUCAGGAUUCUAUGUAGCGGUCACAAUUUUUUGGGUUCAUAAAUUGAUUUUUUGUAGGUACUCGCUCCUCUGGCAUGAAUACACUCAGUUUUAUAUUUAGUGCUUGUACUUCAGAUAUGGAUACUAACCACAAUUUUCUCAUCCUAACAAAUAUGUGGCAUAAAAUAUCAACAUGCUAAAGGUGUACGACGCCCAAACUUGCCGAUAGGGGCAUGCUUGUUGGUACGAAAAAGGUUAACCUAACACCGGUGACCUAGUGCAAAGUCAAAUUAUUCGAGACGGAUCAGCAUCAGGUGCAGUCGGUAGUGUGACUACAUCUUAGGCACUCCACUGCCACCCAUUAGAUUUAAAUCCAAUGGCUAAAAUUAUUUCUGGCACUGUAGCAUGCACGAUGGUGUACUGUAGCUUGCAAUCUGAACCACUUAUCGCAAAAUUGAACGGUAGACAAGACGUGCAGUAGCUUAACUUGCAGUCCAACUUAGUUUGGUGCAUGCAUUCUCUCUCCGUUUUGAUAUGGAAUACUUUCUAGUAUUGUGAUUUACAUAUAUAUAUAUAUAUAUAUAUAGCCAAUGGAUGAAUAUGGAAAAAACUAAAAAAAAUCUUACGAUAUACUCCCUCCAUUUCAUAAUGUAGGAUGUUUGACUUUUUUCUUGCAAUGUUUGAUCAUUUGUCUUAUUCAAAAAAUUAUGAAAAUAUCAUUUAUUUUGCUUGUGACUUACUUUAUUAUCAAAAGAACUUUAAGCAUGAUUUGUCAUUUUUUAUAUCUAUACUAAAUUUUUGAUUAAGAUAAAUGGUCAAACGUUAUAAUCAAAAAAGUCAAACAACUUAUAUUAUAAAACGGAGGUAGUAGUAUGUUACAAUACAAAAUGGAGCUCGUAGAUUUGUUAAUGCCAGAUUUUGGCAAAUCAUCGUUAUUGAUUGAAACACGGUUAAAACCCGAAUCGGAUAAGAAGGAUUGAAUCGGCUGGAGACAGGAAGCUGGAUGCAAAGGGAUUGCAGCCGAUAGAGUUCGAAUCGGACAAGGGUGGGAGUCCGAUUGGGCCUAAAGUUUGGAGAAAAAUUCGGUGCUUAACUAUGAGUCCGUGUAAACUAAUUAGAUUUAUCCCGAAGUUUGUUUAGGAUUCUGUUAUUUAAUAAGAUUUCGAAUAGUGUAAAGUUAGGUAAUAGCGGUUUCUAUCCAGUUAGUUAGUUCCCGGGGCUAUAAAUAUAGGUGCCCAGGGUCCUUGUAAAUAAUCUCUAGAUCAAUCAAUCUAACUUGGCGCAUCGCCUCAAAUCUUCGACUUGCUUGAGCUUUCGGCGUGGGGUUUGUCAUCUUCGCAAUGUAAGUUCUAGUUCGUCAAAACCCGUCGAUUAACUAAGACAGAACUGUCUCGGUUAAGUCCGAUCUUUUGCUUGGUUGAUCGGCGGGCGGAGUUCUAUUAUUACUUUUAAUCUACGUUGAUUUGAAGUAGUAUUAGUGCUCGUUCAAGUCUCUACGAGUUCUUCUUUUGAUCUGGUAGCAUUGUUCUAGUUAGCCUGAUUCUGUCUCGGUUCGGUCCGAUCAAUCUGGUUUAUUAGAUCCGUGUUGUCGAAUUGAAUCGGGGGUUCGUAGAGACUUAUCGCUAGAAUUUUAGCCUGCAUUAUCUUGAGUAAUUUAUCAAUUGGUUGGUUAAACUUAUCGAUCUUCAUGUUUCUAUGGCUAUAUUAUGCUAAACUGCAUACUGUCUCGGUUAGGUCUGAUCUAUGUAUGUUCGGUAUAAUUUAUUUAUAGAAGUAUGUCCGAUCGACUGAGUUUGGUGGAUUAGUCGGUGGAUUACGCUGCUUUGCUAAUCUCAUUAUUCGCUUGCUAUAAUAUUUAUCUGAUGUUAUGCGUGGCUAUGAUUAGAUCUGUACUGUCUCGAUUAAGUUCGAUCUUCUAGGUCUAGAUUGGGCACGUGUGCCGUUGGUUAUUAUUGUUUUAUGUGAAUAAUUAGUAUAGCAUUUUAGUUUACUGUAUAAAUUCCAUGUUUACUCUUACAUCGGCUAACGAUUUCGAGGGUGAUAAAUACUGGAACGGUCCGAUCGGCCGAUUAAUCUUAAGACUGUCUCGGUUAGGUCCGACCUUUUAAGAUUAACUUGUCGAUUGACUUAUUUGGUAUUUAUCCUACUUCUGACUUAGCUGAUUGGGCAUAUUUAUAACUGUUAUAACAAAAAUUCCUGUAAAGCUGAUCGAUUAGUCUAUCGGCUAGGGUACUGGAAUGGUAUCGGCUGUCCGGUCGAUAGCGAUUUCGGGGUUAACUGUUUUUCCAUGUUAUAUCUUGUCAGUUACAGGAUCAAACUGACUAGCACGUCCAAUAUUUCUAAGAAUUAGGUCCUGCACUGGAAUGGUCUAAGAUUAAUUUUCAGGCCUACAUGUGUGACCGUUGAUUGUUAUUUUCAGCGUCAACAAGAUUAUACAUUGCUUCUGCUCAAAAUAAUGUCAAUUCUCAUAAUAAAUGAGAUGAUGUGGUAGCUGACUAGUUUGGUAAUCAAAAUUGCUACAACAGGGGACAAUUGUGUAGUGUCCUCGCAUGUGGGCUUUAUAAUGGACUAUGGGACUAAAAGCCUAUGUAACUCCUUGAGCUUGGACAAAAACUAGUUGAGAAAGUCACGCAUUCGUGCAACUCUGACAUUAAUUGUUGUCAACAUUUGUAACUUCUUUGCGACAUGGUGGCACCAGAGACGCAAAUGAGAUUCUCUAACUUUCUAUUGCAAAGUUAGAGAGCUAUAGCGCUGUGACUUUCGAUAUAUUAUCAGUCAUUUGAUCUACAACCAAUGUGUCCAAUCGGUUGCUACAGUACCGAUAAACAAUACAUAUAUAUACUACAGUACUUUCACUAUUUUCACUAUUUUACUGUAGUUGCCGUGUUUACAGUCAUAUUACUGCGACGCAAGACUCAUUUUACUAUGUAUUUUGGUGACUUUUUUUAAGUAAGUCAGAAGAUCCGGAUUGCAAGGGACGGAGGCGUGGUGACCCUGUCCACUGCCAUAUCUGGCAACAUUGGUGCAAUACGAAAGCACUGUUUGUAGCCCUCCUCUCUCUAUCGUUUUAUGGGUGGCCUCUUUUGGAGGCUUUUGAAUCCCUUACCGUGAAGUUGAUAUUAUAACCACAAGCUAAUUAUUUAAAUGUGUGUGUAACGAAGGAGGAAGAUUAACACACAUACUAGUAAGAAACAUGGUAGCAUAUUGUAGGAUCGAAACAGAGUUAAACAGACCUACCAGAGGGGGUGAAUGGUAGAUUGAUCCAAAACCCAAAAAUCUUUUAGCGGAAAUAAAAAAUUAUCUCUGGUUACGUCGCUCCUGAGAUUACCUCUGGUAAUGCCGCUCCUAUAACGCCAAUCUAGUUGCGCCGCUUCUGAGAUUAACUUGAUCGCGUCGCUCCUGUGCCGCCGAUCAGAUCGUCGGAUCGUGCCGCUCCUAUGCCGCCGAUCAGAUCAUCGAAAUCCAGAAAAUCACUAGUAGAUGAAAGUCUAGAUCGGAUGAACUUGACUUUAUUGCACCAACAACGUUACUCUCAAAAUUAUUGAUCUAGAAUCAACAACUAUUUAACUCAAAUUUUCUAAUUCUAAAUCUCACAAAGAACACACCGAAGACAAACCCCUCGGUACCUAUUUAUAACAAAAUAAAUCUAUCUACUCCGGCCUCCCACGUUCGCAGCCGCACGAUGACCGAACCGAACUCCUGCCGUCCUGCGCACGUAUGGCAUGGACUCCUGGAUGUCACCGAGUCGGCCUCAGCCUCCAUCGAUCACCAUGCACUGCCUCCUUUCUGACAUGCAUGCAUGCUCACGUAUGGACCACACGUGCACAGCCUGGCCUCCAAACCAAAUCAACGAACCGAACUGCACGCUACAGUAACAACUCGGGUUACUGUAGCAUAAUGCCCGAUCUCCU